UACAGAGGGGGCAAGCGUUGUUCGGAAUUACUGGGCGUAAAGGGCGCGUAGGCGGCCUUCUAAGUCGAACGUGAAAUCCCUGGGCUCAACCCAGGAACUGCGUCCGAGACUGAAAGGCUUGAAUCCGGGAGAGGGAUGUGGAAUUCCAGGUGUAGCGGUGAAAUGCGUAGAUAUCUGGAGGAACAUCCGUGGCGAAAGCGGCUCUCUGGAACGGUACUGACGCUGAGACGCGAAAGCGUGGGGAGCGAACAGG
rnacentral:rRNA from 1 species